CAGGAAAUAGCCACCUCCCCAAACCAGCUACUGGCCUGUUACAGAAUGACUGAAAAAUCUGUGAUGUGAGCAACGGUUCAUUGACAGACCACGGAUGUCUGCAGCGGACACGCAAAGGACCGCUACACUCGAUUGAGGCCAUGGAGAGAUGUGCUCUCAUCCAGUCUUCCAGAAUCGUAACGGCCUGUCACAAGAUGAGAAUGACCUAUGCAUCUGCUGAAUGGUGAUUGGUUGACAGCUCUUUGUGGUAAUGGACCAACAACAGCACAAGCAAGUGGAUAGUUGGACUGUGUUUGCUCCACCAGUGGGUUGCCAUUCAUCAACCACAGUAUUUAAGGACCUUCUUGAACAUCUCCUUUGUGCCACACUGUUGUUGCCCUUGCAGUGGUAAUCAGGAAAGCCUUCUGACACCGAGAGCUGCGUACUUAUCAAGCCAUUCAUCACCUGCAAAGGAAAAGAAUGCAUACUCUUCACAUGCAAAAAUUCACCUGAGUUCACAUCUGUGAAAUACACUUACAUAUACACACUUACCUGCUCUCUUUCUCUGCCUGCUCUGUCCCUCCUUGUCCCGAACUAAGAAUCCAAAAUUCACGCUCCCUUCCAGUCUCUCACUUAUCUGUUGCAUUUACUUGCCUUUCGAGCUUCAGCUCUGAGAGAAUACUUGGCUUUAAUAAACCUUCAGUAAAACUU